UUACAUUUAUUUAUUAUGCAUUUGAUCUCUAGUUCCACAGCGGGGCUCCCAGAGAUUGGUGUCCAGCUCCCAGAACCAUGUGAUUAUACAAGACUCUCCAUGAAAACACAUUUCUAGAUCAGAAAACUGCAGAGAAAAACUGAAGAAACAGACUCAAAAUCCAGAGGAAAGAAAGCUCCCAAGUUAAAUCUUUGUUUCCUAUUAUUAAUUGUAUUAUCUAAUUGUAUGAUUGAAUGUGUGAUCUUUGGAGGAUUACAGUAAAGCUAAACUAGGAAUGUCACGGUGGAACUAAGGAGAGGGGACAUCAGGAGAGCUGAGAUUAUGGUCAAGGCAGUAAUUCCAAAUCUAAGCCCCAAGGCAAGAAAUACUUUUGAUCUCAGCACUUCUCAGCUGCCUGUGAAAUUUCUUUGCUGACACAGUGUGAGGACUGAGGCAGGAGUGGGGCUGGGAGCUGCAAAAUACCAUGAAGGGCAGCAGAGGCCUGACCUUGAUAGGGGUGCUCCCUCAGAUUAAGAAGGAGCAGGGGAUGCCAGCCAGCGAGAUGUAUGAGCCUUCUGUCCAGGGAGCUGCCAGGGAGCUCCUCAGGGAUGUGCCUGGUGCACAGGGGGGCUGCUCUGUGUUGUGGGUAAGCCCUCUCCAGUAGGACUGUCUCCACUGCAUCGUGAAGCAACACAGCCACAGAGCUGGUUGUCAGCUCCUCUGAGAGGGAGUGGGCGAGGGGGACCCUCAGCCUGAUGGGGUUGCUGUGGUAUACCCAGGGCAAAGAGCACAGCUCAGUACUGGCCUUGGCAGUGGGGACUUUGGGGCUUUGUCCCUCUUCCUUAGGAAUCUCUGGUCUUUGUGAGACUGAUCUUAGAUCUUGGGUGGAUGAAUGGAGACCUUAACUUGCAUGUAAACAGGGAAGGGAAACAUGGAGUUACUUAUGUGAUCUUAAGGCACAGCUACACCCUGCACAAGUCCCUGCUUGUCCUCUAUGCCUGCUGCCCCUCAGUUCUCAUUCUGUCUUACAGGCUUCAUCAGACUCACUUGCUGUGAUCUGCUCCCAUGCAGUAACCGUGGGAACUCCAGACGUGUUCAAAGAUGACAUGUCACAAAGAUCAUAUUGCCCACACAUACAGGAACCCCCUACCAUGAACCAGUCAGCUGCAGAACUUGGGAGAGACUCAUCAUACUGAAAUUGGCAUUAGUGCCUCUCUAUGGACUAUCACACUAAAAAUAGAUCCAUCUCCUUUUUCCAUGUCUGAGCUGAAGUCUAAAUAAUUCCCAGAGCCUUAGUUUGAUGGAAAUCCUUUAGCAGGCACUGGGUGCUUACCUCUGCAAACCUUGCAGUUCUGCCAUGGUUAGUGUGAUUUGAAGGGAGAAGAGGAGAUAGUCCUGGCCUUAGCUGGAAAGCUGGGAUGUGGAUUUGAAUUUGUUCAUCACACCACGUGAGUCUGUGGUAAUGGGAAUAAAUUUCUGCCAUGUAUUAUA